CAAGACCACAAUUCUUUGGAGAAAAAUGGAUGAAGUUCUAGGCGUGGAACCCAAGAGAUCUCUAAGACAAUUCAUACAUUUUACCCAUCUUAGAAUAGCUGGUUUAGGAACCAAUCUUAGCUGCUUCAAUCAGAUUCAUGUCCUUUUAUUCAGAUGAAAGAUGGAAAAACACAAUGCUAUAUACUUUGGAAUAUUGUAUGGGCUUAUAAUCAGCAUACUUAAUUUCAAGCCAUUCCUUGGCCACUGAAUGGUCACUACUAAAUCACACAACCCACCCAACCGGAGAAUUAAAUUAAAUAUCUGGAGCGAUUUAAUGAACAUGCAUUUGUGGCCACAGUGAAGAUACAAAUAAGUGCUGGAUAUUAGACUUUUAUCAGACACAUAGACUAGUGGAACAGAAUAGAGAACCCAGAGAUAAGAUCACACACCUUCAACCAUCUGAUCUUUGACAAACCUGACAAAAACAAGCAAUGGGGAAAGGAAUCCCUUUUCAAUAAAUGGUGUUGGGAGAACUGGC